AGUGAACGCUGGCGGUAGGCCUAACACAUGCAAGUCGAACGGCAGCACAGUAAGAGCUUGCUCUUACGGGUGGCGAGUGGCGGACGGGUGAGGAAUACAUCGGAAUCUACUUUUUCGGGGGGGAUAACGUAGGGAAACUUACGCUAAUACCGCAUACGACCUACGGGAGAAAGCAGGGGAUCUUCGGACCUUGCGCGAUUGAAUGAGCCGAUGUCGGAUUAGCUAGUUGGCGGGGUAAAGGCCCACCAAGGCGACGAUCCGUAGCUGGUCUGAGAGGAUGAUCAGCCACACUGGAACUGAGACACGGUCCAGACUCCUACGGGAGGCAGCAGUGGGGAAUAUUGGACAAUGGGCGCAAGCCUGAUCCAGCCACACCGCGUGGGUGAAGAAGGCCUUCGGGUUGUAAAGCCCUUUUGUUGGGAAAGAAAAGCAGCAGGUUAAUACCCCGCUGUUCUGACGGUACCCAAAGAAUAAGCACCGGCUAACUUCGUG
rnacentral:rRNA from 1 species